rnacentral:lncRNA from 1 species
AAAUAAUAAAUUGUUCCACCCUUCAAGGAAAUAAAAAAAAAAGAAAAUUCAAGUGGUAAGGAAUUUGAUCUCUUUAAAUAAGUGAUCUAGGAUUCAACUCUAUAUACUUGCGUAUCUAAAAACAAUUGCUUGAGGAGAAUGAACCUACAUCUAACUUUUGUAUCUUGUCUUGUAUAUAAAAUUUUGGUAUUUAUUUAGGGAAGUUUAAAAUCUUAUAUAGGAGAAAAUCUAAGAAACGUUGGGAUAUAAAAUCUUCUAAGGCUUGAGAGGUUUGUCGUAUAGUGAUUUCUCCUUUCGUUUCAUCGUGUUUCAUAAUCGGUUUAUCCUGCCUAUUUCAAUUUGUCCUUGCUUGCUUCAUUCUCCUUGUGUUUAUUCAUAUUGCAUAUCGCUCCCUCCAGCCAAUCUAUCUCACAUUUCUCGCUAUUGAGCCCCUCGAGUGUCUUGGAUGUCUCUCACUGUGUUCAAAAGCAAGGCAUCAGAUGUUAGAGUUGUUGGCAAUAGAGAAGCAAAAGAGCAAUAUCCUCUAAUGAUGUUUUUUUUCCUUCCAACGGAGCCGUGACGUUACAAAAUUUACCAUGCUAGAUCGGUCUCCACCUCAACCACCACCUCUAAAUUUGACGCCUAUAAUUUAACCACAACUGCAUGGAGGAUCUCUAAGCACCCUCUUAAGAAGUCAUUGUAGAAACUUUGUGUUUUGAUCACUCCAUCACUUUUUGGUUUGAGAUCUAAUAAUUGUGUUGAAGUUUUUAUGAUUUUGUUCUUUUGCCUCUUUGUUUGUGUGCUAUUGUUUAUUUUUAAUUUGCUUCAAGUUUAUAUUUCAUGUGGUUGCUCAAAUGUCUGAGAGUGAUUGGAAAUUUGUGGGUAUCAUAUUUCUAAUAAGAGGUUUAUUGUGCCUAACACGGAAUUCAACAUUAUCCCAAGCUUACAGAUGACUUGCCAACAUGUGUGUUUGAAUUGGUUAUUUCAAAGACCACCAAUAAUCAAAACGAGCGAACACCAACAACAAUCUUUUCUAGAGAUGGAUGCAAUUAAAGACUGUAGAUCUUUUAUCACUCUUAAUCAUUGACCACAUGUGGAAGGAUUCAAUUUGAUUAUUAGGAUUAAGAGUUUGGUUUGUUAGUUCAUUUUGGCUUCUGAAAUUUUUAUAUGUAUUGGUAGCAUGUUUUUGGCUUUAAGAAUGUUGUUGGGGGCAUGUCCCAACUCAUAUCCAAUUUGAUUGUACUCUCGUUAUUUUAGCAUUUUAAUUAAGUUUGUUUUAUCGUAAAGAAAAAAUUCAAAAUCUUAAACUAUAUUUUUGUAAGAUUAAACUAUUUUUCUAUUAAAACACAAAUUGCAUACUUGUUUUUAUCUAAACAAAAUUCAAAGAUCUUUUGAAUAAAUUAUAAAUAACAAUUCUUUCUUUUAAUAAAUUAUGCAUCAAAUUUUAUAAAUUAAUUAUUUAUACACUUCAUCGUGAACUUGUGGCAUAAUAGGAAUAACGGAAACAAUGAUGCCUCACAUAAUAUGUAUUGAGGAGGCCAAAUACUUUUUUUUUUAUCAAGAAGCAGUGAAGAUUUCUAGAGAAGAAUAUGAAGGAUUGGUUGACAAAGAAGAGUUAUUUGCAUAAGUAGGGACGGAAGAGAACGUGACGGAAGUUGAUCGAGUGAUAGGCGAGAUUUGUGCCUUGUUCAACAAUAUAUAAGAAACCGGGGAGAAUAUGGGUUUCACAUCACAUGUAUCACAAAUUCAUGGAACUCCUCCCAAACUAAAGGAAAACGAAAGAUGGUGUGUUAUCUGUCUCAUUUUGGUCAUCCUAACAAAGAAUAUGUCAAGUCGAUGACAUAAAAUAAGUUCUUAUUGAAAGACAAUCCAAUUUUUUAUUCCUUGCUUUUGUUUUGAACAAUUUAUAGUUUUUAAGUACUUAUCAAUAGAUUAAGUUUUGGAAGGAGUUAAAGUUUUGCAUUGAUAA